rnacentral:rRNA from 1 species
UGGGGAAUAUUGCACAAUGGGCGCAAGCCUGAUGCAGCCAUGCCGCGUGUGUGAAGAAGGCCUUCGGGUUGUAAAGCACUUUCAGCGAGGAGGAAGGUGGUGAACUUAAUACGUUCAUCAAUUGACGUUACUCGCAGAAGAAGCACCGGCUAACUCCGUGCCAGCAGCCGCGGUAAUACGGAGGGUGCAAGCGUUAAUCGGAAUUACUGGGCGUAAAGCGCACGCAGGCGGUUUGUUAAGUCAGAUGUGAAAUCCCCGGGCUCAACCUGGGAACUGCAUUUGAAACUGGCAAGCUAGAGUCUCGUAGAGGGGGGUAGAAUUCCAGGUGUAGCGGUGAAAUGCGUAGAGAUCUGGAGGAAUACCGGUGGCGAAGGCGGCCCCCCUGGACGAAGACUGACGCUCAGGUGCGAAAGCGUGGGGAGCAAACAGGAUUAGAUAACCCUGGUAGUCCAGCGCUGUGAACGAUGUCGAUUUGGAGGUUGUGCCCUUGAGGCGUGGCUUCCGGAGCUAACGCGUUAAA